rnacentral:lncRNA from 1 species
CCAGAGGCUCCCGCCAAACAAAUUUGUGCUGACAGCCCUUUUCUCUUUGCUCUUUCAAAGACAAUCUCUACUUGCAUAAAAUGCUGCAGCCAGAAUGGAUCAACUUUCCUCCGCACCUGGAAUGAAAGCAAGCCUUCUGAUAAAUGACUGAACCUCUGAAGAGGAUCAUACAGCGAUUUGCAAAAGAAAAUUGACAAUACGAACCGAGUCUCCACGGAUGUCCCUCCGCCGGAGCUGAACCAAUGCACGGAUACUUAUGUCAUCAUGGGGAAAAAAAGAAGGCUAACACAGAUCAGAAGAAAAAUGGUGUGGAAAAACAAAAACAAUGAUUGGACAUGGAAAGCUGAUUAUGGUUUUGUGGUAGUAGAGUAUUACAUGUCAAUAAUCCAUGUUCUCUCCCUUCCCCACUCCUCUCCUUCCCAGAAUACAGCCAACCACUUUGGAAAUAUUUUACUUCUAAAAGUAAGUGAGAAGAAUUAUUUGAUUCAUUUAAACAAACAUUUACUAACCCUACUGGCUACCAAGCAUUGUUCACAGAAGAUAACAGGAAAUAAAGAAAGCUUCUGCCCCUGA